rnacentral:rRNA from 1 species
GCAGUAGCCGCGGGAAUACAGAGGGUGCGAGCGUUAAUCGGAUUUACUGGGCGUAAAGCGUGCGUAGGCGGCUUUUUAAGUCGGAUGUGAAAUCCCUGAGCUUAACUUAGGAAUUGCAUUCGAUACUGGGAAGCUAGAGUAUGGGAGAGGAUGGUAGAAUUCCAGGUGUAGCGGUGAAAUGCGUAGAGAUCUGGAGGAAUACCGAUGGCGAAGGCAGCCAUCUGGCCUAAUACUGACGCUGAGGUACGAAAGCAUGGGGAGCAAACAGGAUUAGAUACCCCUGUAGUCCCUGUCUCUUAUAA